CAGGGAAUCUUGCACAAUGGGCGCAAGCCUGAUGACGCAACGCCGCGUGGGGGAUGAAGGUCUUCGGAUCGUAAACCCCUGUCGAAUGGGACGAAAGACUCGCGAGUGAAUACUUCGCGAGAGUGACGGUACCGUUAAAGGAAGCCACGGCUAACUCUGUGCCAGCAGCCGCGGUAAUACAGAGGUGGCAAGCGUUGUUCGGAAUUACUGGGCGUAAAGGGCGCGUAGGCGGCCCUCUAAGUCAGACGUGAAAUCCCCCGGCUUAACCUGGGAACUGCGUCUGAUACUGGAGGGCUUGAGUAUGGGAGAGGGGAUGUAGAAUUCCAGGUGUAGCGGUGAAAUGCGUAGAUAUCUGGAGGAAUACCGGUGGCGAAGGCGGCAUCCUGGACCAUUACUGACGCUGAGGCGCGAAAGCUAGGGGAGCAAACGGGAUUAGAUACCCUUGUAGUCCCUGAGCGGGCUGGCAAGGCGCAU
rnacentral:rRNA from 1 species